GCUUCAUGAUGACAUCAAGGCGAAUGUGACCUCAAUAGCAGGCUGCUCCCUCAAUCUGUUGCUCAUAUAACGGUCUGUAAUCUUGGUGGGCAAUACAAAGUAAUGUUUGUUUGCUGUAAGGGCAGACCUACAGAAUAUCCCAUUCCUCCUUCCAUUUAGAAGGAAAUGGCCAUUCCUUUGCAAAGCAUCAUAAGGAAUGGUAAAGGGAAUGGGGACAGGGCCAACUUCAUACGCCUGGGCUAUAGGUUGCUGGGUGCUGCCAGAAUGCUGGCUGUUGGGGCAUGAGCACAAGUCUUUGGUAAUCUGAAAGCU